UACGAAGGGGGCUAGCGUUGCUCGGAAUCACUGGGCGUAAAGCGCACGUAGGCGGAUCUUUAAGUCGGGGGUGAAAUCCUGGAGCUCAACUCCAGAACUGCCUUCGAUACUGAAGAUCUCGAGUCCGGGAGAGGUGAGUGGAACUGCGAGUGUAGAGGUGAAAUUCGUAGAUAUUCGGAAGAACACCAGUGGCGAAGGCGGCUUACUGGUCCGGUACUGACGCUGAGGUGCGAAAGCGUGGGGAGCAAACAGG
rnacentral:rRNA from 1 species